CACCCAGGAGGAUGUGCGGGGAGGCCCGCCCGCAUGGGGAGAGGGCCAGGCUUUGAACAUGAAGUUGAUCACAUGCAAAUAGCAUGCAAAUAUAUGCAAGCUGGCUUGGGCUGCGGGGCCCACCUCUCUGCCGUCCUCCCUCCUGGGUGAGGGCUGGGGCGGGUUUGCAUCCGGUUCCGCUUGGUGCCUAGGGUGCCUGGGCUCUACUUCAACCUGCCAGUAACGGAGUGAGGGUGGGGCAGUUCUCCACACCACCCUGCCCAAGAGAUGUGACCUAAGAGGACAUGGAGGUACUGGGUGGCAGGAGAGGCGGCUGACCCGCUGAGCAAGGAGUCCCUGUGGCUUGUGAUUUGUGCCUGGUGUCCUCACGAAAAGGUGAAGGAGUGUGUGCCCAGGAUUCUGACAUUCCCUCCUCCCCUGAAGGCUGGGGAGCAGCUGAACACACGUGGCAGACAGGACUCCCAGACCUGGCACGUUGUUUUCGACACAAUGUCUCAUAAAUAACAACUCACUGUGUAGCUGAGGAUGACCUUGACUGCCUCCACCACUCAAGUGCUGGAUUUCAGGUGUGUGCCACUAUGCCCACUCUGCUAUUUUCUUCCUUUCUUGCUGGGGGUAGAACCCAGGACCUGGGAUCUGCUAAGUCAGGACUCCCCUCAGGGUACCAUCCCAGCCCUGCACAGGGAUUCACUGAGCAUAUACUAGGCAAAAGGCCUGGCUGUGCCCUGAGAGAAGCAAGUGCCAACAUCCAGGAACACACGGGGUGGCAAAGCCAUGAGCCCUAAAGCACCAACAGACACACUGAACUAUGGGUUGGUUCCAGCCUCGUACAGGCAAAGAACCUUCCAAUAGGGGAGAAUUGGGCAUUGGGGUUUGGGGCAUGGGAAGAAUUCCAGGCAAGGGACAAGAGUGGUGUGGCACUGGGCCAUGAGAAAGAAAGGCCAAGGUGGGGAGGGCUGAGAGGGAGGUGAGUCCUGCUGGAAGCACUUUUGUGGUAUCAGGUGUGGGAGGAGACUCAACAGUGAUUAGCUACUGUUGCUGGCUUCCUGAAGACUGUUCUGUACGCUGUGGAAUAGAGUUGCUCAGCUCAGUGGCAGGAGACAUUCUCAGUCUGCAAAAUCGAAAUCUAACAUCCAUUUUUCUCACUCCAAGACCUGGGGGGUCUAUAGGUCAGGCUGGUGCCAUACUUGUGACCCUCUUGCCUCAGUCUCCCGAGUGCUGAUAUUAUAGGUGCAUCAACCCAUACGGUAAGGGGGGGCAUUUUAUGUGCCUGAUAAUUCUUCCUUAUUGCCUCUGUCUCUCUUUCUGUCAUCUCUGUCUGUCUGUCUGCCUGCCUGCAUGUGUGCGUGUGUGCGUGCGUGUGUGCGUGCAUGCAUUCGUGAGUGUGUGUGUGUGUGUGUGUGUGUGUGUGUGUGUGUGUGUGUGUGUACACUAACAUGGAAUCCAGGACUUUGUGCAUGCUAAUUUGCAGUUAACCACUGAGCUAUACCCUGCCCUCCUUCAUCUUUACUGCGAGCCCUUCUUUUUUCUGAUCUUUCAUCCAAUCUUCUCCUGACCUUUGAUGACUGAAAGGCACUUUGCAGCCCAGACUCCGAGUCCCAAAUCUUACCAGGCAGGCUGUGGUCUCUGAUGAACUCUCCAGGGAUGAGUUGGUUAGUAUUAUUGUGUGCUCAGCCCCAGCAUCUGCCUAUAGGCCUGCCUGUAGCCAUAGCAACAAUGACUAACCCUCCAGCCCCUCUGAGCCAGGUCUUAAUAAAACACCGUGUUGGUUAAUUUAUCACGAAAGAGAUAAAUUUCAAGGAUUGUCCCAUUUUACAGCUGGGGUAACCGAGGCAUAGAGAUGUGAAGUAACAUGCUUGAGGUCCCAUUAGUAAACGGAGAAUGUGACUGCAGAUCUAGCCCUGGCUUGGGGCCAUCAUCUUUCAUUCUGUUUGUUCAUGUACUACCCGGCUGGGAGAGAGGGGCUCAGAGCGUGGACAGAAGCUCUAGGAAGUCCUUUGGAGUUCCACAGGGAAGUGGCCAGGUGACACCUGGUACCCAGUAGGCAAAAAACGAGGCCUGCAAUCUUAGCUUUGUGCAGCCUGAGGUCCUUGGCAGGGGAAGGGCUUGCUUGGCUUGGAAAUCUUAGCAAGGCGAAACUAGCUCAUCCAGAGGCCGAUAGAUGGCGCUCGUGGCCCAACACAGCCCCUGCACCCUGCUGAAACCUGAAAGAAACAAGAAAGCAAGUUAACCCUUCAGAACACAGGAGGGCAGAGUAGCUGCUGCUAGGCCUCAGAGGCGGCUCCACAGCCCAGGGCUAGAGCUAUCCCUUGGCCACAGCCAGGAUCUUCUGUCUCCCCUGCCUCACAAGACCAUCAAGCACUGUCAGCC
rnacentral:lncRNA from 1 species